UGCAGAUGCUGAAAUCAAUAAAGUGUUGGUGGAACUCUGCAGGUUAGGCUGCAUCAGUGGAGGGAAUUAACAGAUGACAUUUCUUCUGAAGAAUGAUGCUGAACCAAAACAUCACCUGUCCAUUUCCUUCCUGGUCAUCCAG